GGUUGUAGCUCAGUGGUAGAGUGCUUGCCUAGCACAUGUGAGGCACUGGGUUCGAUUCUCAGCACCA
rnacentral:tRNA from 1 species